rnacentral:rRNA from 1 species
UACGGGGGGGGCAAGCGUUGUUCGGAAUUACUGGGCGUAAAGGGCUCGUAGGCGGCCAACUAAGUCGGAUGUGAAAUCCCCAGGCUUAACCUGGGAACUGCAUCCGAUACUGGAUGGCUUGAAUUCGGGAGAGGGAUGCGGAAUUCCAGGUGUAGCGGUGAAAUGCGUAGAUAUCUGGAGGAAUACCGGUGGCGAAGGCGGCAUCCUGGACCGACAUUGACGCUGAUGAGCGAAAGCUAGGGGAGCAAACGGG